AGAGUUUGAUCCUGGCUCAGGACGAACGCUGGCGGCGUGCCUAAUACAUGCAAGUAGAACGCACAGGAUGCACCGUAGUUUACUACACCGUAUUCUGUGAGUUGCGAACGGGUGAGUAACGCGUAGGUAACCUGCCUGGUAGCGGGGGAUAACUAUUGGAAACGAUAGCUAAUACCGCAUAAUAUUAAUUAUUGCAUGAUAAUUGAUUGAAAGAUGCAAGCGCAUCACUAGUAGAUGGACCUGCGUUGUAUUAGCUAGUUGGUAAGGUAAGAGCUUACCAAGGCGACGAUACAUAGCCGACCUGAGAGGGUGAUCGGCCACACUGGGACUGAGACACGGCCCAGACUCCUACGGGAGGCAGCAGUAGGGAAUCUUCGGCAAUGGACGAAAGUCUGACCGAGCAACGCCGCGUGAGUGAAGAAGGUUUUCGGAUCGUAAAGCUCUGUUGUAAGUCAAGAACGUGUGUGAGAGUGGAAAGUUCACACAGUGACGGUAGCUUACCAGAAAGGGACGGCUAACUACGUGCCAGCAGCCGCGGUAAUACGUAGGUCCCGAGCGUUGUCCGGAUUUAUUGGGCGUAAAGGGAGCGCAGGCGGUUAGGAAAGUCUGGAGUAAAAGGCUAUGGCUCAACCAUAGUGUGCUCUGGAAACUGUCUGACUUGAGUGCAGAAGGGGAGAGUGGAAUUCCAUGUGUAGCGGUGAAAUGCGUAGAUAUAUGGAGGAACACCAGUGGCGAAAGCGGCUCUCUGGUCUGUCACUGACGCUGAGGCUCGAAAGCGUGGGUAGCGAACAGGAUUAGAUACCCUGGUAGUCCACGCCGUAAACGAUGAGUGCUAGGUGUUAGGCCCUUUCCGGGGCUUAGUGCCGGAGCUAACGCAAUAAGCACUCCGCCUGGGGAGUACGACCGCAAGGUUGAAACUCAAAGGAAUUGACGGGGGCCCG
rnacentral:rRNA from 1 species